UGAGGCAUGAACUUGGCAAUUUU
rnacentral:miRNA from 1 species